GAAAUGCGAUAAGUAAUGUGAAUUGCAGAAUUCAGUGAAUCAUCGAAUCUUUGAACGCACAUUGCGCCCGCCAGUAUUCUGGCGGGCAUGCCUGUCCGAGCGUCAUUUCAACCAUCAAGCCCCCGGGCUUGUGUUGGGGACCUGCGGUUGCCCGCAGGCCCUGAAAACCAGUGGCGGGCUCGCUGUCACACCGAGCGUAGUAGCAAUCACCUCGCUCAGGGCGUGCUGCGGGUUCCGGCCGUUAAACAGCCUUACAAAACCCAAGGUUGACCUCGGAUCAGGUAGGAAGACCCGCUGAACUUAAGC
rnacentral:misc_RNA from 1 species